UAAUCCCUGGGCUACACGCGGGCUACAAUGGGUUGGGACAAUGGGUAUCGACACCGAAAGGUGAAGGCAAUCUCCUAAACCCAUCCGUAGUUCGGAUUGUGGGCUGCAACUCGCCCACAUGAAGCUGGAAUCUGUAGUAAUCGUGUCUCAAAAUGGCACGGUGAAUAUGUCCCUGCUCCUU
rnacentral:rRNA from 1 species